GGGCGUGUAUCUGGGCGUGCUCUUAUUGGCUCCACCUCGCUCAGGUAUUCGCUAAAAAAGAGCGAAUUCCUGAGCGACUUAACACUAAUGGUGUAUGUAUGAGCACCUACUCCGUAAAAGUAAUUGUAAUCUCAUGAAUAGCUCCGUAAAGCUAGCUAGCUAUACUACUAUGGCAAUUUCAACGUCUUUGAUAUCCAAGAAGCAUUAGCAUAUGUACUGUCUUGUGUGAAGCAAGAAGGACUGAUCCUCAAGGAACAGCAGGUCCGUGCUCUCAAGCUCCUGUCAGAAGGAAGGGACGUUUUUGUGUGGUUCCCAACUGGGUAUGGCAAGUCUCUGUGCUAUCAAUUGCUACCCUUCUUGAUGGACUACAAGCUUGGUAGGACUAAGGGUCCUCUUGUCGCCAGAAGUGUAGUCUUGUCAUCUCUCCCCUUGUGUCUCUCAUGAUUGACCAGGUCAGGAGUCUGAACACUAGAGGUGUUUCCCAUCCUCAGUAGUAAUAAGGGAAUCGACAGAAGUCUUGUUGCCACUAACAAAGAUGUGUCGGAUGGAAAGUACCGUCUGCUGUUCACUGCCCCAGAGGCUGUUGUUGAAGACUAUCGUUGGAGGAUGCUAUUACUAGAGCCUCCACUCAAUUCCUCUUUAGUGGCAAUAGCUGUGGACGAAGCACACUGUGUUUACAAGUGGAGCUCUGACUUUCGUCCUGCCUAUGCACACCUAGGUGAGCUUAGAGCAUUUGCCCCUCCUGGUGCUCCAAUGUUGGCUGCAAACUGGAUAGUUUCUGACCUACCCUCUAGCUCCACAGCGAUUGCAGAUGAUGUCGAGGCACUGGCAUUAUGUGGACCAUCAAUGAGUAAAAGCAAGCCUUUUUCCUCGAACCCCGAUGGUACUCCUCUUUGCUGAUGGACGCGAGCUCACAGUAAAAGGAGAUGCGUCGGAACCACUCGUGUCCUUAGUCCUUUUCUUAGGGGCUGAUCUUACUGGACUACUAGGGAGCUGCUCUUUGGACACUUGUUUCUGGUAGCUACGUCUGGCCAGGAGCCUGAACACCUCUAUGGACUCUAUCUUCUUGAUACAAGAAAGACAGACAAUCUUUGACAGGCCAUCUGAAUCACUAACAGGCAGAUCCAAUGCAAGACUGAGCCUCCCUGGAAUAUCUUCUUUGAGAGCCUUACUGCUGAACAAAUGUUUAUAUCUUCUGUUUUGUAUGGCACCAGUGCUGCAACAUAACCUACAAAGAACAAACUUAGAAGCCAUCAUUAAUUUUAUUCAAUUUUCAUUUCACAUGGACUUAAUAAUAAUAACGAAGUCACGCCCAGAUACAAUCAAUACCAGGCCGAGGAGGCGACCUAGCGUUCAAUUAGAGACGGAUCGGCCUGGGAUCGAGGCUAAGCUACCCCUGGCUUUACUGAAUUAACUAGCUGUGUCUGCUGUCUAGUUGGACCAGAUUUAGCUAGAUAAUGGGGUAGAGAAUAGUUGAGCGGUGCUGUGUGUAGCUUGAACUGUACUGGCUGGCAAGAAUCUAGUAAGCACCCUAUGCACUGAUAACUCGUCAGAAUGGAGGGUAUGUUCUAGGGAUCUGGACAGCUGUACAUCCAAAGGAGCCAGGGAGUGACAAUCAUCUUCUCCCAGUCUCUGACACGCUAAACAAAAGGAGCUAGAACUGGGAGUCCCAGCUAGAAUUGCUAGCCGGAUCUAGACUAAUAGAAUGACAUGGAGGCGUGGUGAGGCCGGAUCCACACUAAUUGAUCGACCUAAAGACGCUCCUGUUCCAGACUUUCACGAAUGGUAAGGAAAGGGGUACAGUAGAACCUCGAUUAUCCGGACACCUUGGUUCCAGAAGCAGGCUGGAUAAGUGAAUAUGCCGGAUAAUCGAAUAGAUAAACCACGCCUUGAUCCACCCACUUUAUUGAUAAACAGCAGUGCCACAUGGUUGUCUGCGCAUGCGCAGAAGAUAAGCAGGCAUGUCUCCAUGGUAACAGCUGCAACGCGCAUGCGCGUUUGAGGGACACGCCCAUUUUCUGAUCUGAUAACAAGAAAACUGCCAAGCCGGAUAAUCGAGGUUCCGGAUAAUCGAGGGCCGGAUAAUCGAGGUUCUACUGUAUAGA